GACGAACGCUGGCGGCGUGCUUAACACAUGCAAGUCGAACGCGCCUGUCCUCUGGGUUUCUGGGGGGUGGGUGAGUGGCGAACGGGUGAGUAACACGUGAGUAACCUGCCCCCUUCUUCGGGAUAACGGUCUGAAAGGGCUGCUAAUACCGGGUAUUCACUGGUCUCCGCAUGGGGUCUGGUGGAAAGGUUUUUUUCUGGUGGGGGAUGGGCUCGCGGCCUAUCAGCUUGUUGGUGGGGUGAUGGCCCACCAAGGCUUUGACGGGUAGCCGGCCUGAGAGGGUGACCGGUCACAUUGGGACUGAGAUACGGCCCAGACUCCUACGGGAGGCAGCAGUGGGGAAUAUUGCACAAUGGGCGCGAGCCUGAUGCAGCGACGCCGCGUGAGGGAUGGAGGCCGUCGGGUUGUGAACCUCUUUCGCCCGUGGUCAAGCCGCGACGUGGGUCGUGGUGAGGGUAGUGGGUAAAGAAGCGCCGGCUAACUACGUG
rnacentral:rRNA from 1 species